rnacentral:rRNA from 1 species
AUGCAAACCAGAUGUGUAUCCGUCACAGCAGCGGCGCUGGUGCUGCUGAUCUCGGCGAAGGCGGUCGCCGCAGGGGAUCCCCCGGCGGUGAUAGGGCUGCCGGGCUGCCCCACCAGCUGUGGCAAUGUCAGUGUGCCGUACCCUUUCGGCAUGGGGCCGAGCAGGUGCUACAGGCCAGGGUUCAAGCUCACCUGCGCCAACAACGGAAGCAAGCCCCCGCGGCUCCUCCUCGGCGACGGCAGCACUGGCAAGUUCCAGGUCCUCCGCAUCUCUCUGAAGAACAGCACCAUGCGCGUCGUCAGCCGUGGACUGCAUGCCAUCAACAUGAGUGGUGGCUCCGGGCGGUGGAGCUGGGACCUCGGUGACAACGUCGGUGGCGGGGUGAUGUACUUCCUGCAUCCAGGGUUCAACGAGUUCAUACUUAUGGGCUGCAACGUGCAGGCAACAUUGCAGCGAAACGGGAGCCUCGUCAGCGGCUGCGCCGCUAUCUGCCCCCCGGUCGCUGGUGGUUGGUUUGCUGCGUAUGUUGCGGCGCAAGGCCCCAACUCCAGUACCUGUUCCAACAUCGGUUGCUGCCAGUCGUCCAUCAUCAGCAACAGAAUGUCCUACAGCGUGUCCUACGGCGGGUACCUCAAUCCGCUCAAUGACACGCAGCACUACAAGCAUGUGAAGAACGUACUGCUCAUCACCGAGGUGGGUUGGUUAGAGCGCAACCUGGGAGUGGUUCUCAACUUUACGUACAGUAACAAUGGUCGGUCGCGGCGGAAGGCUGCUCAGAUCAGAGUCCCUGUGGUUCUCCAGUGGGCCGUGGCGCACGACCUUGCGGUGUAUAAUUCUUCAGGAACAUGCCCCGACGACACAGCGCCGAGCAUAUGCAAGAGCAAAAACAGCAAAUGCCGGGAUGCCGCAUACUGUGAAGACAGGGGAGCCUAUUCUUGCCUGUGCAAGAAUGGCUACGAGGGCAACCCUUACCUCACCGGCGGAUGCCAAGGCAAAACCAAAGGGAACUUGGGUUUAAUCAUUGGUCUCUCGGUUGCUAGUGGACCAUGCAUUCUACUAUUGGUUCUUGGUGCAAUCCUAAUAACCCGUGCUCUUAAGCAACGCAAGGCGCAUGCGUUGAGAUGGAAGUUCUUCUGUCAAAACCGUGGGCAACUGUUGAAGCAGUUGGUAUCUCACAAGGUGGAUAUUGCAGAGAGGAUGAUCAUUUCUUUAGAAGAGCUAGAGAAGGCUACCAACAAUUUUGAUCAAACUCGCAGGCUCGGUGGCGGAGGGCAUGGCACAGUCUACAAAGGGAUCCUGUCGGACCUUCAUGUUGUGGCCAUUAAGAAAUCCAAUAUUGUUGUCAAGAGAGAAAUCGAUGAGUUCAUAAAUGAGGUUGCCAUACUCUCACAGAUCAACCACAGAAAUAUUGUGAAGCUCCGUGGUUGUUGCCUCGAGACAGAAGUCCCUCUAUUGUCUUAUGAGUUCAUUUCCAAUGGAACACUCAGUGAUCAUCUUCACACGGAAGAACUAGAAUCGCUGCCUUGGAAAGAUAGGUUAAGGAUCAGAAGUGAAAUAAGCAAAGCUCUCGCUUACCUUCACUCUGCUGUUUCAGUCCCUAUAAUACACCGAGAUAUCAAGCCUUCUAACAUACUUCUUGAUGAUGCCUUGACGGCAAAAGUGUCAGACUUUGGAGCUUCAAGAUACAUUCAAGUGGAUCAAACAGGAACAACAACUGCGGUGCAAGGAACUAUAGGGUACUUAGACCCUACGUAUUAUUAUAAUGGACAUCUCACAGAAAGUAGUGAUUUUUAUAGCUUUGGAGUCCUUCUUGUUGAAUUGCUUAUUAGGAGGAAGCCUUCUUUGUAUAGAUCCACCGAUGGCGACGGACUUGUCAAGCAAUUUGUCGCACUGCUUGCACAAGGCAAUCUGCCUGAAAUACUAGAUCCGCAAGUUGUAGAGGAGGGUGGUAGCGAAGUGAAAGAAGUCGCUACACUAGCUAUGUCGUGCGUGAAACUAAGAGCAGAGGACCGACCAACCAUGAGGCAAGUGGAGAUGGUGCUCGAAGCUCUCCAAACACCCAAGGAGCGUGUCUGGGCUCAUUUGACAGAAGAAACAGGCUUGAAGGAAUUUGCAACAACCGGAUAUCCAUCAACAAGCCAACAAGCAAACAAAAAUGAAGCAACGAGGUGUUAUAGCCAAGAAGAAGAGUUCCUGUUAUCCGCGACAUUCCCUCGUUAG